UUCAAGCAUGAGAUCCCAGAACAAGAGCAUUAAAGGAGAGAAAUGAAGUCAUGAAGACAACAAAAUAUCCGGAUAAAGGCAACUGACCAGACUUGAAUACUUAUCCCAAGAAACCAGGAACUGUUUACAUGUUGGUAUUUCCCAUUGCUUCCAAAAUCCAAGAAUCAUAGACCAUCGAGAACUGCUCUGUGCCAGGCUCAGUGUAAGGCUCAGUAGUCACAGACCUCUUCCUCAAUAAAGGUAGAUGUAAACACACUCCUCUGAGUCUCCUCUAUCAUACCGCUUAUUAGGUGAUAUUGUCAGGUACAUGCUGGGAACAUUAAGGAGGUAGGAGAUGGCAUCUUGGAAAGCUUCAGGAAUGAAGUGUGAAUUAAAUCUCAGAUAAUGAGUCACAGCUGGCCAGAUAAUUAGGAAAAGCAUAUGGACAGGCACAGAGGUACGAAGAGGGUCCCUCUUGGCAGAAUGAAGCAACAGGCUGCCUUUUGACUGAGGCUCCACAUUGGCGAAGGAACUUCGAUGUGUACACAGUCGCUGGGAUCAACUCACAGGACUAUUAAUAAAAAGGAAGAUAUUCAUCAUACAAAUCUAAACUCAUUUCAUCAACUGGUAACCAGAGAUGACCUUGUACUGUGAGAGGAUUUGACCCUGGCAUGUGAAAUGGCAGAUGAGAGCUAGAAAGAGUCAAGGAAACAUUUCUUUUGAGCUAUUGUCAACUUUUAACAAGGAAGUAUACUCCUAUGAACAAAAUUUGGAGCAUAUUUGUUUCUUUCUACCUGAUUUCUCCAGAAUUUGGGAACUAUUUGUGAGUAUUCUUAACUUUUGGCAAUAUGG
rnacentral:lncRNA from 10 species